AUGGGGAGCUUGCUCCCUGAUGUUAGCGGCGGACGGGUGAAUAAUACGCGGCUAACCUGCCUGUAAAAUCUGGACAGUCCUAGGAAACCGGGGCUAAUACCGGAUGGUUGUUUGAACCGCUUGGUUCAGACAUAAAAUGUGGCUUCGGCUACCACUUACAGAUGGACCCGCGGCGCAUUAGCUAGUUGGUGAGGUAACGGCUCACCAAGGCGACGAUGCGUAGCCGACCUGAGAGGGUGAUCGGCCACACUGGGACUGAGACACGGCCCAGACUCCUACGGGAGGCAGCAGUAGGGAAUCUUCCGCAAUGGACGAAAGUCUGACGGAGCAACGCCGCGUGAGUGAUGAAGGUUUUCGGAUCGUAAAGCUCUGUUGUUAGGGAAGAACAAGUGCCGUUCAAAUAGGGCGGCACCUUGACGGUACCUAACCAGAAAGCCACGGCUAACUACGUGCCAGCAGCCGCGGUAAUACGUAGGUGGCAAGCGUUGUCCGGAAUUAUUGGGCGUAAAGGGCUCGCAGGCGGUUUCUUAAGUCUGAUGUGAAAGCCCCCGGCUCAACCGGGGAGGGUCAUUGGAAACUGGGGAACUUGAGUGCAGAAGAGGAGAGUGGAAUUCCACGUGUAGCGGUGAAAUGCGUAGAGAUGUGGAGGAACACCAGUGGCGAAGGCGACUCUCUGGUCUGUAACUGACGCUGAGGAGCGAAAGCGUGGGGAGCGAACAGGAUUAGAUACCCUGGUAGUCCACGCCGUAAACGAUGAGUGCUAAGUGUUAGGGGGUUUCCGCCCCUUA
rnacentral:rRNA from 1 species